GGAAGGAUCAUUAACACUAAUCCAAACCAACUCAAACAUGCCUUGAUGUUGCAAGCGAAAGCUCUGCAGCUACAACAAAUCUAACCAAAAGAAACAUAACUAAGUCAAACAAAAACCAAAUCCUCAACGAUGGAUAUCUAGGUUCCUACAACGAUGAAGAACGCAGCGAAGUGCGAAAAGCAAUGCGAAUUGCAGAUCCGUGAGUCAUCAGAUUUUUGAACGCAACUGGCUCCGCAUGGUAUUCCGUGCGGAAUGCUUCUUUCAGUGUGUGUUUUUUUCCUGCCCCAAAGCAUAGUGCGGUAGAUGCCCUUCUACUGCUAAACGCGAAAGCACUCUGCGCUCUGCCGUGACUCCCUCGGGAUGUCACACUCAAUGCAGCAGUCACAUUCUCCAAUGUGAACUCAUUGAGAGUAGAGCCAGCGCAGCCUGUCUGCCAGUGCUUAGACACUCAAAUUUUCACAGCAUCUGAAAUGAAGUAGGACCACCCGCUGAACUGAAGCAUCUCAUUAAGCGGAGGAAAAGAAACUAACAAGGAUUCCCUCAGUACGGGCGACGGAAGCGGGAAAAGCCCAAAUUGGUAAUCUCCGCGCGCAAGUGCGGCGAAUUGUAAUCUGAAGGUCACUGGCCUAAUUAGGAGGGACGCAGAAGUGUCCACGAGCGGACCGCCAAAGAGGGUGAAAGCCCCGUCUGUGGUGUCACUCCUUACCGGGCCGGAGCCAAAGAGUCGUGUACUUUGAUACUAGUGCACAAAGUGGGAGAUAAACUUCUUCUAAGGCUAAAUAUAUGUAGGAAACCGAUAGCGAACAAGUACUGUGAAGGAAAGAUGAAAAGCACUUUGAAAAGAGAGUUAAAAGACUUGAAAUCGUUGAGGCGGAAGCGGUAGAAAAAAAUUCUUCAAAAUUUCUCGGUGAAUACUGCCUAAGGGGUUCCGGAAGCGGUAGAAUUGAGAAAUUAGAGAGACAAGAUGGGGUCGAGAAAUGCCAAAAGCAGGAGGAAGUACGAGGCUUGCCUCUACUUCAGCCAUGACUGGUAUUUAACGGCUCGAGGGGCUUUGUGCGAUCUUGUCAAAAUGGUUUUUACCGACUCGUCUUGAAACACGAACCAAGGAGUCUAAGACUAACGCGAGUAUGGUGGUGGAAAAACCAACAUGCGAAAUGAAAGUGAAUGAUGCCAAGGAAACAGCAGCAUCGACCGACCAUGACCCACUGGGGAAAGGUUUGAGUAAGAGCGUUAUUCUUAGGACCCGAAAGAUGGUGAACUAUGCCUGUUUAGGGUGAAGUCAGGGGAAACUCUGAUGGAAGCUCGUAGCGAUACUGACGUGCAAAUCGUUCGUCGAAAAUGGGUAUAGGGGCGAAAGACUAAUCGAACCAUCUAGUAGCUGGUUCCCUC
rnacentral:misc_RNA from 1 species